UACAGAGGGGGCAAGCGUUAUUCGGAAUUAUUGGGCGUAAGGGGCGCGUAGGCGGCCAUUCAAGUGACGGGUGAAAGCCCUCGGCUUAACCGAGGAACUGCCUGUCAGACUGGAUGGCUUGAGACCGGGAGAGGUGAGUGGAAUUCCCAGUGUAGCGGUGAAAUGCGUAGAUAUUGGGAGGAACACCAGUGGCGAAGGCGGCUCACUGGACCGGAACUGACGCUGAGGCGCGAAAGCGUGGGGAGCAAACAGG
rnacentral:rRNA from 1 species